rnacentral:rRNA from 1 species
UAAACUAGGAUUAGAUACCCUAUUAUUAAAAAUGUAAUUUUAAUAAACUAAAUUAGUAUUAGUUAUGUUCUUGAAAAUUAAAAAAUUUGGCGGUAUUUUAGUCUUUUCAGAGGAAUCUGUCCUAUAAUUGAUAAUCCACGAUUAGAUGUACUUUAUUUAUUAGUUUACAUAUCGUCGUAGUUAAAAUAUUUUAAUAGAAUUAUUAAUAUUUAAAAUUUUUGAUUAAAAAGUAUAUCAGAUCAAGGUGUAGUUUAUAAUAAAGAAGAGAUGGAUUACAAUAAAUUUAUUUGAGGAAAAUUUUUAUUAUAAAAAUUUGAAUGUGGAUUUGAUAGUAAUUUUAAAGUUUUGUUAAAAUGAUUAUAGCUCUAAAAUAUGCACACAUCGCCCGUCGCUCUUAA